rnacentral:rRNA from 1 species
AGGCCUUUGGGCUGUAAACCUCUUUUCUCAAGGAAGAAGAUCUGACGGUACUUGAGGAAUAAGCCACGGCUAAUUCCGUGCCAGCAGCCGCGGUAAUACGGGAGUGGCAAGCGUUAUCCGGAAUUAUUGGGCGUAAAGCGUCCGCAGGCGGCCGUUUAAGUCUGUUGUUAAAUCGUGGAGCUCAACUCCAUCACGGCAAUGGAAACUGUUCGGCUUGAGUAUGGUAGGGGCAGAGGGAACUUCCGGUGUAGCGGUGAAAUGCGUAGAUAUCGGGAAGAACACCAGUGGCGAAAGCGCUCUGCUGGGCCAUUACUGACGCUCAUGGACGAAAGCCAGGGGAGCGAAAGGGAUUAGAUACCCCUG